rfam:Oryza barthii chromosome 2, whole genome shotgun sequence.
AAAAAGACAAACCUUGAAUUUUCGUGUCCAACUUUGACUGUACGUCUUACAAGAAAUUAUUUUAUAAUUCGUAUUUUCAUUGUUGUUAGAUAAUAAAACAUGAUUAAUAUUUUAUGCAUGACUUGUCGUUUUAAUUUUUUUUUCAUAAUUUUUUUAAAUAAGACGGACGGUCAAAUAUUGGACACGGAAAUUAGGGUUUGUCUUUUU